rnacentral:rRNA from 1 species
UACGUAGGGGGCAAGCGUUGUUCGGAAUUACUGGGCGUAAAGGGCGCGUAGGCGGCACGGCAAGUCGGGAGUGAAAGCCCGGGGCUCAACCCCGGAGGGUCUUCCGAAACUGCCGAGCUAGAGUGCGGAAGAGGCAACCGGAAUUCCUAGUGUAGAGGUGAAAUUCGUAGAUAUUAGGAAGAACACCAGUGGCGAAGGCGGCUCACUGGCCCGGUACUGACGCUGAGGCGCGAAAGCCAGGGGAGCAAACGGG